GACGAACGCUGGCGGCGUGCCUAAUACAUGCAAGUAGAACGCUGAAGAGAGGAGCUUACUCUUCUUGGAUGAGUUGCGAACGGGUGAGUAACGCGUAGGUAACCUGCCUUGUAGCGGGGGAUAACUAUUGGAAACGAUAGCUAAUACCGCAUAACAAUGGAUGACACAUGUCAUUUAUUUGAAAGGGGCAAUUGCUCCACUACAAGAUGGACCUGCGUUGUAUUAGCUAGUAGGUGAGGUAAUGGCUCACCUAGGCGACGAUACAUAGCCGACCUGAGAGGGUGAUCGGCCACACUGGGACUGAGACACGGCCCAGACUCCUACGGGAGGCAGCAGUAGGGAAUCUUCGGCAAUGGGGGUAACCCUGACCGAGCAACGCCGCGUGAGUGAAGAAGGUUUUCGGAUCGUAAAGCUCUGUUGUAAGUCAAGAACGGGUGUGAGAGUGGAAAGUUCACACUGUGACGGUAGCUUACCAGAAAGGGACGGCUAACUACGUG
rnacentral:rRNA from 1 species